rnacentral:rRNA from 1 species
AUUGAACGCUGGCGGCAGGCUUAACACAUGCAAGUCGAGCGGAGCGAGGGUGCUUGCACCUUAGCUUAGCGGCGGACGGGUGAGUAAUGCUUAGGAAUCUGCCUAUUAGUGGGGGACAACAUUCCGAAAGGAAUGCUAAUACCGCAUACGCCCUACGGGGGAAAGCAGGGGAUCUUCGGACCUUGCGCUAAUAGAUGAGCCUAAGUCGGAUUAGCUAGUUGGUGGGGUAAGGGCCUACCAAGGCGACGAUCUGUAGCGGGUCUGAGAGGAUGAGCCGCCACACUGGGACUGAGACACGGCCCAGACUCCUCCGAGAGGCAGCAGUGGGGAAUAUUGGACAAUGGGGGGAACCCUGAUCCAGCCAUGCCGCGUGUGUGAAGAAGGCCUUUUGGUUGUAAAGCACUUUAAGCGAGGAGGAGGCUACUAGUAUUAAUACUACUGGAUAGUGGACGUUACUCGCAGAAUAAGCACCGGCUAACUCUGUGCCAGCCGCCGCGGUAAGAC